AGCAGUCGCCGCGGUAAUACGAAGGGUGCAAGCGUUACUCGGAAUUACUGGGCGUAAAGCGUGCGUAGGUGGUUGUUUAAGUCUGCUGUGAAAGCCCUGGGCUCAACCUGGGAAUUGCAGUGGAUACUGGGCAACUAGAGUAAGGUAGAGGAUAGUGGAAUUUCCGGUGUAGCAGUGAAAUGCGUAGAGAUCGGAAGGAACAUCUGUGGCGAAGGCGACUAUCUGGGCCAUUACUGACACUGAGGCACGAAAGCGUGGGGAGCAAACAGGAUUAGAUACCCGAGUAGUCCCUGUCUCUUAUAC
rnacentral:rRNA from 1 species